rnacentral:rRNA from 1 species
UACGGAGGAUGCAAGCGUUGUCCGGAAUUAUUGGGCGUAAAGAGCUUGUAGGCGGUUUGUCGCGUCUGCCGUGAAAAUCCGGGGCUCAACCCCGGACUUGCGGUGGGUACGGGCAGACUAGAGUGUGGUAGGGGAGACUGGAAUUCCUGGUGUAGCGGUGAAAUGCGCAGAUAUCAGGAGGAACACCGAUGGCGAAGGCAGGUCUCUGGGCCACUACUGACGUGAGAAGCGAAAGCGUGGGGAGCGAACAGG